GCAAGUCGAGGGGUAACGAUGGUGCUUGCAUCAGUCGACGACCGGCGCACGGGUGAGUAACGCGUAUGCAAUCUGCCCUUAACUGGGGAAUAGCCCGAAGAAAUUCGGAUUAAUGUCCCAUAAUAUAUUAAUAUCGCAUGAUAUUGGUAUUAAAGCUCCGGCGGUUAAGGAUGAGCAUGCGUGACAUUAGAUAGUUGGUGAGGUAACGGUUCACCAAGGCAACGAUGGGUAGGGGUCCUGAGAGGGAGAUC
rnacentral:rRNA from 1 species